UUCAGUUAUUAUCCCUGAGCCAACCUCCCCCUCCCCACUAUCCUCUUUGAUGCUCUCCCAACCAACACUGGAGGGUGAUUGGAGGGUCUUGUGCAUAUACCAGUGGCUAUGGACCAGCAUCUGACCAGUUCUCUCGAUGAGCUUGUAGAACAUGAGCUGAGGAAGUUUAAGAGGAAACUAUACCGCAUUGCACUAAAGAAAUGUCAUAAGCUCAUUCCUUGGGGGAAAUUGGAACCUGCCCACUGCAAUGAUCUUGCUCAAAUGCUGGUCAAGUAUUAUGGAGAAAAGUAUGCUCUGGAAGUUACCUUGAAAGUUCUAAAAGCCAUUCACCAACAAGAUGUGGCCAACAUGCUUAUUAAGAAAAUCCAACAGGAAGGAAGUGAUGAGAAUGAUGAUGACAAAGAUGAAAGUGAUGAUGGUGAAAAU